rnacentral:rRNA from 1 species
CCCUUAGAUGUCCUGGGCCGCACGCGCGUUACACUGAUGCAUUCAACGAGCUUAUAACCUUGGCCGAGAGGCCUGGGCAAUCUUGUUAACGUGCAUCGUGAUAGGGAUAGAUUAUUGAAAUUAUUAAUCUUGAACGAGGAAUUCCUAGUAAACGCAGAUCAUCAAUCUGCAUUGAUUACGUCCCUGCCCUUUGUACACACCGCCCGUCGUACCUACCGAUUGGAUGGUCCGGUGAAUAUCAUGGAUUGAGGAUUAUAGCAGGUUCGCCUGUCUUGAUCUUCGAGAAGUGAAGUAAAUCUUAUCAUUUAGAGGAAGGAGAAGUCGUAACA